rnacentral:rRNA from 1 species
AGUGAACGCUGGCGGUAGGCCUAACACAUGCAAGUCGAACGGCAGCACAGUAAGAGCUUGCUCUUACGGGUGGCGAGUGGCGGACGGGUGAGGAAUACAUCGGAAUCUACUUUUUCGUGGGGGAUAACGUAGGGAAACUUACGCUAAUACCGCAUACGACCUACGGGUGAAAGCAGGGGAUCUUCGGACCUUGCGCGAUUGAAUGAGCCGAUGUCGGAUUAGCUAGUUGGCGGGGUAAAGGCCCACCAAGGCGACGAUCCGUAGCUGGUCUGAGAGGAUGAUCAGCCACACUGGAGCUGAGACACGGUCCAGACUCCGACGGGAGGCAGCAGUGGGGAAUAUUGGACAAUGGGCGCAAGCCUGAUCCAGCCAUACCGCGUGGGUGAAGAAGGCCUUCGGGUUGUAAAGCCCUUUUGUUGGGAAAGAAAAGCAGCAGGUUAAUACCCCGCUGUUCUGACGGUACCCAAAGAAUAAGCACCGGCUAACUUCGUG